rnacentral:rRNA from 1 species
GAACUGAAGAGUUUGAUCAUGGCUCAGAUUGAACGCUGGCGGCAGGCCUAACACAUGCAAGUCGAACGGUAGCACAGAGAGCUUGCUCUCGGGUGACGAGUGGCGGACGGGUGAGUAAUGU